rnacentral:rRNA from 1 species
AGUAAUACAUAAGUAACCUGCCCUAGACAGGGGGAUAACUAUUGGAAACGAUAGCUAAGACCGCAUAGGUACGGACACUGCAUGGUGACCGUAUUAAAAGUGCCUCAAAGCACUGGUAGAGGAUGGACUUAUGGCGCAUUAGCUGGUUGGCGGGGUAACGGCUCACCAAGGCGACGAUGCGUAGCCGACCUGAGAGGGUGACCGGCCACACUGGGACUGAGACACGGCCCAGACUCCUACGGGAGGCAGCAUG